UACAGAGACUGCGAGCGUUAUUCGGAUUCACUGGGCGUAAAGGGUGCGCAGGCGGCCAAGUGUGUGAGGCGUGAAAGCCCGGGGCUUAACCCCGGAAUUGCACCUCAAACUACAUGGCUAGAGCAUUGGAGAGGGAAGCGGAAUUCACGGUGUAGCAGUGAAAUGCGUAGAGAUCAUGAGGAAGACCAGUGGCGAAGGCGGGUCUCUGGACAGUUCCUGACACUGAGGCACGAAGGCCAGGGGAGCAAACGGG
rnacentral:rRNA from 1 species